rnacentral:rRNA from 1 species
AGAGUUUGAUCCUGGCUCAGAGCGAACGCUGGCGGCAGGCCUAACACAUGCAAGUCGAACGGAUCCUUCGGGAUUAGUGGCGGACGGGUGAGUAACACGUGGGAACGUGCCCUUUGGUUCGGAACAACUCAGGGAAACUUGAGCUAAUACCGGAUGAGCCCUUUUGGGGAAAGAUUUAUCGCCAUUGGAGCGGCCCGCGUCUGAUUAGCUAGUUGGUGGGGUAAAGGCUCACCAAGGCGACGAUCAGUAGCUGGUCUGAGAGGAUGAUCAGCCACACUGGGACUGAGACACGGCCCAGACUCCUACGGGAGGCAGCAGUGGGGAAUCUUGCGCAAUGGGCGAAAGCCUGACGCAGCCAUGCCGCGUGAAUGAUGAAGGUCUUAGGAUUGUAAAAUUCUUUCAGCAGGGACGAUAAUGACGGUACCUGCAGAAGAAGCCCCGGCUAACUUCGUGCCAGCAGCCGCGGUAAUACGAAGGGGGCUAGCGUUGCUCGGAAUUACUGGGCGUAAAGGGCGCGUAGGCGGGUCGUUAAGUUGGGGGUGAAAGCCCAGGGCUCAACCCUGGAAUUGCCUUCAAUACUGGCGGCCUUGAGUAUGGCAGAGGUGUGUGGAACUCCGAGUGUAGAGGUGAAAUUCGUAGAUAUUCGGAAGAACACCAGUGGCGAAGGCGACACACUGGGCCAUUACUGACGCUGAGGCGCGAAAGCGUGGGGAGCAAACAGGAUUAGAUACCCUGGUAGUCC